CAACCCUCAAGCUCUGCUUGGUAUUGGGUGCCGCCCCUCACGGGGCGCGCCUUAAAGACAGUGGCGGUGCCGCCCGGCUCCAAGCGUAGUAAUUCUUCUCGCUCUGGAGGACCGGCCGCGUGCCCGCCAGAACCCCCAAUUUUUUCA
rnacentral:misc_RNA from 1 species